AUUGAACGCUGGCGGCAGGCCUAACACAUGCAAGUCGAACGGGGCGGGUGCGUGAGAGUAAUGUCUGGGAAACUGCCUGGGGGAGGGGGAUCGCUAAUGGAAACUGUAGCAAAUACCGCAUACUCGCAGAUGUGCCCAAAUGGGAUUAGCUUGUUGGUGGGGUAACGGCCCACCAAGGCGACGAUCCCUAGCGGGUCUGAGAGGAUGAACAGCCACACUGGAACUGAGACACGGUCCAGACGCCUACGGGAGGCAGCAGUGGGGAAUAUUGGACAAUGGGCGCAAGCCUGAUGCAGCCAUGCCGCGUGUAUGAAGAAGGCCUUCGGGUUGUAAAGUACUUUCAGCGGGGAGGCGUUACCCGCAGAAGAAGCACCGGCUAACUCCGUGCCAGCAGCCGCGGUAAUAC
rnacentral:rRNA from 1 species